CUUAAGCAAUAACAUCUAAUAAUAUAGUAUAUUCAACCAAGUUAGCUGCGCAUUUUAUUAGCCGUUACUACUUAAAAAAAAAAAAUGGAUAACCUAUUGUCGUGCCCGUAUAAUUUAGCCCACCGCAUUCACAGGGAUGAUUUCCCUGAUCACCUCACCCGAUGUCGAGAAGAAAAUAGACACCGAGGCACGAUGGAGACUUGGCCUUUUAAUGAGAGCCACGUUGUAAACUCUAUUGAGAUGAAUGGGACGGGUUGCUACCUCACGAAUCACUCUACGGCAGAUGUCACCCUCUAACGUGACAAGUAGAUCUUAUGAAAUUUAUGACGAAAGAAUGAUUCGUAAACUACA